CGGACGGGUGAGUAACGCGUGGAAAACCUGCCGUAUACUGGGGGAUAACACUUAGAAAUAGGUGCUAAUACCGCAUAAGCGCACAGCUUCGCAUGAAGCAGUGUGAAAAACUCCGGUGGUAUACGAUGGUUCCGCGUCUGAUUAGCUAGUUGGUGAGGUAAAAGCCCACCAAGGCAACGAUCAGUAGCCGGCCUGAGAGGGUGAACGGCCACAUUGGGACUGAGACACGGCCCAGACUCCUACGGAAGGCAGCAG
rnacentral:rRNA from 1 species